AUUGAACGCUGGCGGCAGGCUUAACACACGCAAGUCGAGCGGUAACAGGAGAAGCUUGCUUCUCGCUGACGAGCGGCGGACGGGGGAGUAAUACUUAGGAAUCUACCUAGGAGUGGGGGAUAGCUCGGGGAAACUCGAAUUAAUACCGCAUACGACCUACGGGAGAAAGGGGGCAACGUGUUGCUCUCGCUAUUAGAUGAGCCUAAGUCGGAUUAGCUAGAUGGUGGGGUAAAGGCCUACCAUGGCGACGAUCCGUAGCUGGUCUGAGAGGAUGAUCAGCCACACCGGGACAGAGACACGGCCCGGACUCCUACGGGAGGCAGCAGUGGGGAAUAUUGGACAAUGGGGCAACCCUGAUCCAGCCAUGCCGCGUGUGUGAAGAAGGCCUUUUGGUUGUAAAGCACUUUAAGCAGUGAAGAAGACUCUAGGGUUAAUACCCUUAGACGAUGACAUUAGCUGCAGAAUAAGCACCGGCUAACUCUGUGCCAGCCGCCGCCGUAA
rnacentral:rRNA from 1 species